AUAUAUAUAUGUAUGUUAACAUCUUAUAAAGCUAGAUUUAUAAAUCCUAAAAUUGCAGAACAAUUCGUUACUGGCCAGUUUAGCUUAAAGGUAAAGCACUUGAUGUGUAAUCACAGGGAUGUGAGUUCACAUCUCAUGGCUAGCUGG